UACAGAGGUCUCAAGCGUUGUUCGGAUUCAUUGGGCGUAAAGGGUGCGUAGGCGGCGGGGCAAGUCAGGUGUGAAAUCUCGGGGCUCAACCCCGAAACUGCACUUGAUACUGCCUUGCUCGAGUACUGGAGAGGAGACUGGAAUUUACGGUGUAGCAGUGAAAUGCGUAGAUAUCGUAAGGAAGACCAGUGGCGACGGCGAGUCUCUGGACAGUUACUGACGCUGAGGCACGAAGGCCAGGGGAGCAAACGGG
rnacentral:rRNA from 1 species